rnacentral:rRNA from 1 species
GAUGAACGCUGGCGGCGUGCUUAACACAUGCAAGUCGAACGAAGCACCUUGAUUCGAUUCUUCGGAUGAAGAUCUUGGUGACUGAGUGGCGGACGGGUGAGUAACGCGUGGGUAACCUGCCUCAUACAGGGGGAUAACAGUUAGAAAUGACUGCUAAUACCGCAUAAGACCACAGCACCGCAUGGUGCAGGGGUAAAAACUCCGGUGGUAUGAGAUGGACCCGCGUCUGAUUAGGUAGUUGGUGGGGUAACGGCCUACCAAGCCGACGAUCAGUAGCCGACAUGAGAGGGUGACCGGCCACAUUGGGACUGAGACACGGCCCAAACUCCGACGGGAGGCAGCAGUGGGGAAUAUUGCACAAUGGGGGAAACCCUGAUGCAGCGACGCCGCGUGAGAGAUGAAGUAUUUCGGUAUGUAAAGCUCUAUCAGCAGGGAAGAAAAUGACGGUACCUGACUAAGAAGCACCGGCUAAAUACGUG